UACAGAGGGGGCAAGCGUUGUUCGGAAUUACUGGGCGUAAAGGGCGCGUAGGCGGCCCGCUAAGUCGAACGUGAAAUCCCCGGGCUCAACCCGGGAACUGCGUCCGAUACUGGCGGGCUUGAAUCCGGGAGAGGGAUGCGGAAUUCCAGGUGUAGCGGUGAAAUGCGUAGAUAUCUGGAGGAAUACCGGUGGCGAAGGCGGCAUCCUGGACCGAGAUUGACACUGAUGAGCGAAAGCCAGGGGAGCAAACGGG
rnacentral:rRNA from 1 species